AGUUAUUCAUCAAUUAGGCGCCAAAACAAACCUGUUUAUCAAACUUGUUUACGGAAGAAGUAGAAAAAAAUAUAAUUAGAGCAAUUUGGAUAUUACCUCAAAGCAGAAGACCUACCCUGCAAAUUUGGAAGUAAUAAGGCAUCACAGGGCUAACAAACACAGCAACCUCCAACCCUGCUGCAAGGUACAUAUAGACGUGAGUCCUGUGCCAAGUGGAACCAACAUUGGCCAGAAUCACAUACUACCUCGCAUGGCUGACCACAAGAAAAUCCUGGCAAACUACCACCACCUCCCAACAUGGUGUUCAAAUCAGUACCACCAUAAAGUAGCUGGACACGCAAAGCCAGCAAUGUUGGCUAAUUUUACACAGGGCUUAUGAAGCGCAGGGAUGAGAAUCAAUAUUUUACAGUAAAAAUUAGAAGUGGAGAUUAUUUUAAGAGAGUUAAAACCCUCAGUCCUUAACUUCUCAACUAGUAUAUCAAAGUAAUCUUACCUGGAAUCAAGUUAAGAUCAGUAUUCAGCUUGUUCCAGUCUUGAGGCUGUAUAAUAAAAUAAUUUUAGAAUAAUUUUAGAGAUUUAACGGUUUUACACAGAUGUGAUGUGUAUGAACGGUGUUAGACAUUGAGUGUUUAAUUCGUUUGUAAACUUGUAAAUAAACUUUUUUUUCAUGGACAACAUUAAUGGUAUUGACAGUAUUGCACUAAAGUAUAAUUAGUAGUUUAGUUUUGACUUAUGGGGUGUCAAAACAGCUUACUAAAGAGAUACUGUAUAUAAAACUUUUGGGCAAACAAAGCCCUUCUCAAAACCCUAGUGUUAAGUUGUAUUUAGGAUCAAAGCUACAGCUAGUUACUAAUUUUGUAAUUCUGUUGUGGCUUCUCAUAAAGACUCUCACCUUACUAAAUCCAACAUCAAUAAUAAAAUUGCCAUUAUCCGUCA